rnacentral:rRNA from 1 species
AACGAACGCUGGCGGCAUGCCUAACACAUGCAAGUCGAACGAGACCUUCGGGUCUAGUGGCGCACGGGUGCGUAACGCGUGGGAACCUGCCCUUAGGUUCGGAAUAACUCCCCGAAAGGGGUGCUAAUACCGGAUAAUGUCUUCGGACCAAAGAUUUAUCGCCUUUGGAUGGGCCCGCGUUGGAUUAGCUAGUUGGUAGGGUAAAAGCCUACCAAGGCGACGAUCCAUAGCUGGUCUGAGAGGAUGAUCAGCCACACUGGGACUGAGACACGGCCCAGACUCCUACGGGAGGCAGCAGGGGGGAAUAUUGGACAAUGGGCGAAAGCCUGAUCCAGCAAUGCCGCGUAAGUGAUGAAGGCCUUAGGGUUGUAAAGCUCUUUUACCCGGGAUGAUAAUGACAGUACCGGGAGAAUAAGCUCCGGCUAACUCCGU